AUUUGUGUAUAAGUAAUGCAUUAUUCAAUAUGCUAUAAUCUUCUAUAGAUUGAACAUAAGUAGUCGUACUAAGUAUUUGUCAUUAUUUAUGCGACAUGUGUAAUACAUAAACAUAUGUAUAUUUCUUAAGUAUAGUAUUGUAUCUUAACGUACAGUAUGUAUUUCAAUAGGUCCCAGUUUGCGGGCUAGGUGUAUGUAGUUUUGUAUAGUAAAGUAUGGAGAUAUAGUACAGAUGGUGGUGAAACCUGUUGACAGUGCGGCGUUCCGUGUUUAUCAUCAAUAGUUUGGCAACAUAGAAUAUUUGGAGUCGAGUCUAGACAAUAGGGCAGCCGUAAUGUGUACACCGCUUAUGUUGGGCCAGUUUUGUGUAGUUACCGAAAACCAAAUACGUAAAAUUCCGUAGUAUCGUUUAUCCAGAUUUCAUAUUUAAUAUAAAGAAGAAGGAACAGUUCAUUAAUCAUUUGACAGUAUUAUUUCAUUUGAUUUCAUCUAUUUAUAUUUGUAAAUUUGUACCUAAUUAAAUUGUUAUUUUGUUUAAA